AGGUUAAUUAGGUACACCACCAUGUCUUAAACGCUGUAGGAUCCUGGGGUUUCACGCAGACGAGGAAGAACCUUGAAUCCACAUUUUUUGCUUCUUCUAUGCUUGGCCGAUAAUUCAAGGUAGUGUUUACUCUUUUCACGCUUCUGGGUCAAGAAAUCAUUUUCUUUUCUCCCCAAAGAAGUUCACUUUUCAUUGAAUUAGUUCGACACGUUUCUUCCUUGGACGAGAUUGACGCAAAUCCCUUAAUUUUAGCCAUUUGGGUUUUAGUUACAGUAGCAAAUGGCACUUCACAGUCUAGCAUGUAUGUAAUUUGGGUGAAAAGUUACGAUUUUUAUGUAUCAUAUGGGUUUGAUUUGAUUGAUUUCUGGUGUUUAAG
rnacentral:lncRNA from 1 species